rnacentral:rRNA from 1 species
AGCGAACGCUGGCGGCAGGCUUAACACAUGCAAGUCGAGCGGGCACUUCGGUGUCAGCGGCAGACGGGUGAGUAACACGUGGGAACGUGCCCUUCGGUUCGGAAUAACUCAGGGAAACUUGAGCUAAUACCGGAUACGCCCUUUGGGGGAAAGGUUUACUGCCGAAGGAUCGGCCCGCGUCUGAUUAGCUAGUUGGUGGGGUAAUGGCCUACCAAGGCGACGAUCAGUAGCUGGUCUGAGAGGAUGAUCAGCCACACUGGGACUGAGACACGGCCCAGACUCCUACGGGAGGCAGCAGUGGGGAAUAUUGGGACAAUGGGCGCAAGCCUGACGCAGCGACGCCGCGUGAGGGACGAAGGCCUUCGGUUGUAA